GUUUCAUCUGGAGUAUAAGGAAAGUUUGUGUUACAGAGCUGAGAGACCUCUAAUGCUGAGGAUAAUCAUUUAUGGUUUUUUUUGUUUUUUUUUUUAAGAGAUGUUUACGAGGGUGGAUAGUGAUAGGACAAGGGGGAGUGGUUGAGGGAACUGGGCUUGUUUAGUUUGGAGAAGACUCCGGAGAGACCUCAUUGUGGCCUUCCAGUACUUGAAGGGAGCAUUUAAACAGGAAGGGGAACAGCUGUUUAUGAGGGUGGAUAGUGAUAGGACAAGGGGGAAUGGUUUUAAACUGGAACAGGGGAGGUUUAGAUUGGAUAUUAGGAAGAAGUUUUUCCCAUAGAGGGUGGUGACACACUGGAACAGGUUGCCCAAGGAGGUUGUGGAUGCCCUGUUGCUGGAGGCAUUCAAGGCCAGGCUGGAGGUGGCUUUGGGCAGCCUGGUCUGGUGGUUGGCGACCCUGCACAUUGUAGGGGGGUUGAAACUCAGUGAUCACUGUGGUCCUUUUCAAUCCAGGCCAUUCUAUGGUUCUAUGAUAGAAAAGAGAAUGUUCUGAGGGGACGUUAUAGCAGCCUUCCUGUAUCUGAAGGAGCCCUACAGGAAAACUAGGAAGGCAUUUUUUUGUAAGGCCAUCUAGUGACAGGACAAGGGAAAAUGGUUCUAAACUGGAAUAGGGUAGAUUUAGACAAGAUAUUAGGAAGAAAUUCUUUACUGUGGGGAUGGUAAGACACAGGAACAGGUUGCCCAGAGAGGUUGUUGCUCCCUAGAGGCAUUCAGGGCCAGGCUGGAUGGGGCUUUCAGCAACCUGGUCUAGAGGGAGUUGUCCCUGCCUAUUGCAGGUGGGUUGGAACUAGAUGAUCUGAAA
ensembl:lncRNA